AGUGAAGCAUAUACAGAAAUCCGCUGUGACGAAAGCUCCAAUCCGCGCAAACGUACAACACAUUCACUGAAGGUGAACGUCAAGAACUGGGUUCGUUACGUCUUCAACGAUGGCAUACAAGGCGGUGGUUGUGCUCCUGGCUCUAAUGUUGCUGAUGACACCGUGCCACUUAGAGGAGCUGAUUGAUGAUGCAGACGCCCUCAGUCUCUUGAAAGACAUGAUGCUGAGAGAGGCCAGGGGAACUAGCAGUAGACAUGAUCAAGUUUACCGAUCCAUUCGAGGAGGCACAAAUCUACCAUUCUUGUUCGGCAGUCAACCAGGACCAAGGAAGCUGCCAAGAUUUGUCAGGAGAGACCCAUCAAUUUAAAUUAGUUGUAGUGCUCGUUUUACUACUCACUUUAUUCAAAUUUCAUCAACUGUUUGGCAGAGGUGAAACGGAGCCGAAGAUGUCUGUGCUUUUCUCAGUGAAUAUUAUGCCUUUUCCCUGAAGUGGUUUAUGCAGUACAGUAUUGUGGAAGCAUUGGUGUGUUUUUCCGCUAGCACUUUGAAUAUGCAUUGAUUAUUGCACAUUUUGAAACCAAACAUAAAAGGAACUGAUUAGGUUUUGAAAUUAAACCUUUUUAAAUCAAAACCUUCUUUUUUCAUGAACUAAAUAAAUGUAAAGCCACCACAUUUUAAGUUUGUCAACAGUUUUACCGGGUUUUUAUAACCACGGCACAUUUGCCAAAAAAAGACUCUUGAAACAAGCCACCUCAUCAAAAUCAGGCAUAUUUUCAUCAACAAUUUUGUUGCUUUUUGUAAGUAAAACGUUUUCCCCUAAGCAUUUGUUUCAUGUUCCGGCGUCUGAAAACCUUGCAGUUUAAUUUGUAAACGUUCCUCUACAUGUUCAUGGCGUAACAUUGUGACCAGUGCUUUAAAUUACAUUUUAUCACCAAGAAAACAUUUAUUUUGGAAUUUUACUAACUUCACUUGCAUGUCUCCAGCGGGGGAAGAGUAACAAAUAAAAAUCGAAAAGAAUUACUGAAA